ensembl:lncRNA
CGCCUGUGCUAGGGUAACAAUUCAUUUGCCCAACGCAAAUGUAGUUUGUUUGCUUGAUGGGCUAAUACCGAUUGGUCGGAAAAUGCAGUGGAUAAAGGUGAAACUGAGAAUGAUGCAAAUUCUGAGCCAAAGCCCUUGGGAGAGAGAGGUGGAGAGCCGAGUGCUGAGUGGGCUGAUGACUGCUAGCUAGAAUGACCUGUCCAACAACCUGGGGGGCGUGGGGAGAGCCCAGUUCAUGGGGGUCUAGGUGGAUGUGUGGUUUCUGAGGGGUGCCCAAGCCAGGCAGACAAAGACUGUCUUGGACCUUUAUCCAGGGAGAUCCUCCCAGUUCAUCUGGGCUGACCCUCGAGAGCCACCUGAUGAAGCACAUCCUGUACAGCCAUUGAGGAAUGGCUGAAUCUGCCCACAUUCAGUGCCAGAGCCUGGGAUGAAAUAUGGAGUGCUGUUCCAUGGGCCUCAAACGCUUCCUGAUCACUCUGGGAAACCCGUGAGCAUGUACAGAGCCUGGGAAUAAGACUUAUCUUGGGAGUGUUGGCACAGCCCUUCAAGAUGUAGACCCCUGGCGGAAACUGGAGCCCACAGUCAUUACCCUCCUGGCUCAUGCCUCUGGUUGGUAAUGGCUCUUGUAAUUCCUGGCAUCUGAUCAUCCCCCUUCUUCUUGGAUGUACUCAGCCAAGCACCUGCCCUGUGCCGCUGGAGGCUUUUCCAGGGUCCCCCUGCAAGAGCCUGGGAACUGUCCAGCUAGCAGUCUGCUGAACCACAGGGGCAGCCACCUUGAGGCCGCCAGCUGGAGAAGGCCCAUGGCUGGUUGUGGAGAUCUGCGCCUGGAAGAGAAGCAGCAGGCCAGGGGCCCAGAGGAGAGCUGCUGCCCAUUGCCGUGCUUGACCUGUUAGCAUUUGCAUUCCUGAAGUCGUGGUUGGUUAAUUAAAAAUAAGCCCCAGGGCCUAAGGAGGCCCACAGUGGGGUAGGAACGACUCCUUGGUGCAAAGCGAUUCCGAGUUUCCAACUAAAGUAAUAUGAAAGGGUAAAAGGGACAGGCUGUUAAAACACCUAGUGUUGUCAAUGGGAGCUGGGAGGCUCUGAAAGGCAUCGGGGCUAACCGUGGUCCCCAAGCUGGUUAAAUGUGGCCAAGAGUCGGAUCUCGUCCCCAUGGUAUCCCACUCUCUACAGACAGUGGAUAGUCCAUACUCCGGUGUAAACACUUUCACCACCAGUGGCCAGUGGGUAGGGUGUGUCUGUAUCUUUUUCUGAUUUUGACGUUACUGAGUGCUGAAUGUGUGCGGACGCCUUUCCAGGUGCGUCAUAUGUAUUAUCUAACUUCUUUCAUCCUCUCAAAAAUCCCAGAGGCAGAUGAGGAAAUGGAGGCACAGAGAGGUUAUGCGAUUUCUCCUCAGUUGGUCAGUGGCAGAGCUGGGACUUAGACUCAGAUAGUCUGACUCUAAGGGCCCCCUCUUGACCACUGCGCUGUCUGGUCUCUUCAGAAAUCUUUGCUUGAAAGGCCAGGUUGCACACUUGAGCUUUUUUCUUUUCUUUUUUUUUUUCCAAGAUGGAGUCUCGCUCUGUCACCCAGGCUGGAGUGCAGUGGCACAAUCUCAGGCUCACUGCAACCACCGCCUCCUGGGUUCAAGCAAUUCUCCUGCCUCAGCCUCCCAAGUAGCUGGGGCUACAGGCAUAUGCCACAAUGACUGGCUAAUUUUUGUAUUUUCAAUAGAGUUGGGGUUUCCCCAUGCUGGCCAGGCUGGCCUCAAACUCCUGACAUAGUGAUCCACCCACCUCAGCCUCCCAAAGUCCUGGGAUUACAGGCAUCAGGCACAGCUCCUGGCCCCACUUGAGCUUUUAUAUUUGUAGAGAGUAAAAAGAAUGAAGGCAGGAAAGAAUUUUGUGAAGGCAAAGGUGGUUGAUGGUUUCAAGUAUCCACUUGGAAAAGUUUCGCUUUUGAUCCUUGUAUGAGUCCGUUUUCACACUGCUAUAAAGAAAUAAAUACAAGACACUGGGUGAUUUAUAAACAAAGGAAGUU